rnacentral:rRNA from 1 species
UACGUAGGGGGCUAGCGUUGUCCGGAAUCAUUGGGCGUAAAGAGCGUGUAGGCGGCCCGGUAAGUCAGUGGUGAAAGCCUCCAGCUCAACUGGAGAACUGCCAUUGAUACUGACGGGCUUGAGUACAGACGAGGUUGGCGGAAUUGAUUGUGUAGCGGUGAAAUGCAUAGAUACAAUCAAGAACUCCGAUUGCGUAGGCAGCUAACUAGGCUGUAACUGACGCUGAGGCACGAAAGCGUGGGGAGCGAACAGG